AUAAAAUAAAGCAUAAUCAUCUAAAUGAGAGAUAAAGGAAUACGGAAUACCAUCCAGCCCAGGAGCAGAAUCCUUAACAUGAGACAAUACACCUUUUAGUUCAGUGAGAGAAAAUAUACUGUUUAAACCAAAACAGUUAUCAUUAUUUAUAUUUAUUACAGGGUAAACAAUUAUUAAGUCUUCAGGAACGAAAGGUGGAGCCAAUUUAUCUAAAAAGCUAUUAACUAAAUGAAAAGGGAUUGAUUUUGGAGAUGAAUCUUUGUAUGCAGAUCUAAACCUUCUUAUAUUUUGCCAUACAAGAGAUGGUUUGACAUCAGCAUAUUUUCUUCUCUUUACUGCCUCAGUACAUUCGUUAUCCCACCAAGGAGGAGAAGGAAUAAAACCCAAAGAGCUAUUUUUACUUGGAAAUAUCUCAUUGGCAACCUCAAUAAAGAUUUUUGCUAAAGAAUCUGCACACUGAGAUUCUGUACCUGGAUUAAUUUUUGGAAGUGUUGGAAAUGAUAAUAAUAGUGGGAAGUGAUCACUACCAAAAGUAGAUCGUAAUGGAUCCCAGGACAAAGAAGAAGCAAGAUUAGGUGUAGUGACUGUUAAAUCUGGAGCACUUGGGCCCUCUUCAGGAUGAGAACGUCGUGUAGGACGACCAUCAUUUAAUAUACACAAAUUCACUGAAUCAAAUAUAUCUAUUAAUGUGUUACCAUAACUAUUAGAACCCCAGGAUUCAUGGCGACAGUUAAAAUCACCAAGGAUCAUAAAAGGCUUCGGAAGAAUGGAAAUAAUAUCUUUAAUUUCAUUUAAGAUUGCAGAAGAAGGAUGAGGUAUAUAAAUAGAUACAUAACAGAUAUUUUCAACUAAAGCAGCAAUAAUAGAAAAAUCAUUACUGUGAGAAGGAAUAGAGAAGAGAGAAAAGGAAAGAGGGUGUUUCACAAGCAUGGCUACUCCGCCAUGCCCAUCCACACGAUCUUCUCUGAGACAUGAAUAACCACGAAUCUUAAAUAAAGAUCCUGGUUUCAACCAUGUCUCUUGAAGAGCACAGAUAUAAGGUUUAUAUUUAUUUAAUAAAUAAAUAAGAUCACUUUUUUUAGGAGUGAUGCUUUGACAAUUCCAUUGAAGAA